rnacentral:rRNA from 1 species
CUCAGUCCAAGCCGUGUUUACAUGGCGAGACCGCGGACGGCUCAUUAAAUCAGUCGUGGUCCAUAUGGGCUAGAGUUUAUCUUACUUGGAUAACUGUGGUAAUUCCAGAGCUAAUACAUGCAACCUAUAUCCUGACGACGUGGGGGCGCUUGCGUCUCCGCACUGACGGAUGCUUUUAUUAGACCAAACCGCUGAGUGCGUGGCUCGCGCCACGUAUGACUCGUUUAAUGGUGACUCUGAAUAACCUUUCUGACAAGCGAACGUACCCCUCGUUGGGACGGCGCUGCCACUUUCGAGUGUCUGCCUUAUCAGCUAUCAACCGUUCGUUAUGUGCGACCGAUGGCUUUGACGGGUAACGGGGAAUCAGAGUUCGAUUCCGGAGAGGCAGCCUGAGAGACGGCUACCACGUCCAAGGACGGCAGCAGGCACGCAAAUUACCCAAUCCCAGCUCCUGGGGGAGGUAGUGACGAAAUCUAACGAUGCGGGCGCCCUUUCUGGGGCCCCGCAAUCGGAAUGGCCACUUUCUAAACAACCUGUUGAGAACCUACUGAAGGGCAAGUCUGGUGCCAGCAGCCGCGGUAAUUCCAGCUUCAGUAGCAUCUAUUAAAGUUGCUGCGGUUAAAAGGCUCGCAGUUGAAUGUCAGUAUCGAGCGCAGGUCAGGUGGACGCUGGGGCGUGAGAAUUCACGGCGUUCGCGCGUGCGCUCGCGUGUGUGUUGGUGCUUCGGUGCCUCGCGCGCGUGUGGUGUGCGUGUGUGGCGUCUCUCACAAGCCCCCGUCCGUGACAAGCCUCCUCGCUUGUUUACAUAACGGAAUCUGUUAAACGGAGUGUGCUUGCAGUGGCUCUGCUUCCUUUUGCGUUAGCGUGUGUCUGUGCUUCGCGGUGCAGGCGUGUGCGCGUGAGACGGGAGUUGUGGUUAACCUCUCGCACGUUAAGCUCCAUCGGUUCUAUGGUCACCUUGAGUAAAUCAGAGUGCUCAAAGCAGUCGUAGGGGCCUUGUGCCCUGUGAACAGUCUUGACGGACUGACUUGGUUUUGCAUGGCAUGUCGGAAGACGACGUCUAGCGCUGGCUCAGAGAUAUGUAUCAGUGGUGUAAGCCAGCCUAGACGUACUGAUUAAAAGGGACAGUCGAGGGCAUUGGUAUUGCGAGGCGAGAGGUGAAAUUCUAUGACCCCCGCAAGACCUCCUGAAGCGAAAGCGUCUGCCAAGGAUGUUUUCAUUAAUCAUGAACGAAAGUUAGAGGAUCGAAGGCGAUCAGAUACCGCCCUAGUUCUAACCCUAAACGAUGCCAACCAUCAAUCCGCGCGUAGCACCCUUCUUAACGGGCUCGGCGGGCAGCUCCUCACUCACGGGAAACCAGAGUCUCUGGGUUCCGGGGGGAGUCUGGUUGCAAAGCUGAAACUUAAAGGAAUUGACGGAAAGGCACCACCAGGCGUGGAGCCUGCGGCUUAAUUUGACUCAACAC